rnacentral:rRNA from 1 species
AACGAACGCUGACGGCGUGCCUAACACAUGCAAGUCGAAACGAGAAAGUCCCGGCUUGCCGGGAUGAGUAGAGUGGCGCACGGGUGAGUAACGCGUGGAUAAUCUGCCCUUCAGUUGGGAACAACUCAUCGAAAGGUGGGCUAAUACCGAAUAACACUGCAAGACUUUGGUCGAGCAGUCAAAGAGAGCCUCUGCUUGCAUGCCCUCGCUGAAGGAUGAGUCCCGCGUACCAUUAGCUAGUUGGCAGGGUAAUGGCCUACCAAGGCGACGAUGGUUAGCUGGUCUGAGAGGAUGAUCAGCCACACUGGAACUGAGAUACGGUCCAGACUCCUACGGGAGCUG